rnacentral:rRNA from 1 species
CCUACGGGGGGCAGCAGUGGGGAAUAUUGCACAAUGGGCGAAAGCCUGAUGCAGCAACGCCGCGUGAGCGAUGAAGGCCUUUGGGUCGUAAAGCUCUGUCCUUGGGGAAGAAAAAAAUGACGGUACCCAAGGAGGAAGCCCCGGCUAACUACGUGCCAGCAGCCGCGGUAAUACGUAGGGGGCAAGCGUUAUCCGGAAUUAUUGGGCGUAAAGAGUACGUAGGUGGUCUUUUAAGCGCAGGGUUUAAGGCAAUGGCUUAACUAUUGUUCGCCCUGUGAACUGGGAGACUUGAGUGUAGGAGAGGAAAGUGGAAUUCCUAGUGUAGCGGUGAAAUGCGUAGAUAUUAGGAGGAACAUCAGUGGCGAAGGCGACUUUCUGGACUAUUACUGACACUGAGGUACGAAAGCGUGGGGAGCAAACAGGAUUAGAUACCCUGGUAGUCCACGCCGUAAACGAUGAGCACUAGGUGUCGGGGUCGCAAGAUUUCGGUGCCGUAGUUAACGCAUUAAGUGCUCCGCCUGGGGAGUACGUUCGCAAGAAUGAAACUCAAAGGAAUUGACGGGGACCCGCACAAGCAGCGGAGCAUGUGGUUUAAUUCGAAGCAACGCGAAGAACCUUACCAGGACUUGACAUCCUUCUGACAGGACCUUAACCGGUCCCUCCUUCGGGCAGAAGAGACAGGUGGUGCAUGGUUGUCGUCAGCUCGUGUCGUGAGAUGUUGGGUUGAGUCCCGCAACGAGCGCAACCCUUGUCAUUAGUUGCCAUCAUUUAGUUGGGCACUCUAAUGAGACUGCCGGGGAUAACUCGGAGGAAGGUGGGGAUGACGUCAAAUCAUCAUGCCCCUUAUGUCCUGGGCUACACACGUGCUACAAUGGCUGGUACAAAGAGACGCAGACCGCGAGGUGGAGCAAAUCUUCAAACCA